rnacentral:tRNA from 1 species
AUUAUUUUGGCAGAUUAGUGCAAUGAAUUUAGAAUUCAUAUAUGUAAUUUUUUUACAAAUAAUA